rnacentral:misc_RNA from 1 species
AAAGUCGUAACAAGGUAACCGUAGGUGAACCUGCGGUUGGAUCAUUACCAAAUCGUUGUUCGUUCCUCAAUUUCCCGAAAGGUUGAAAUUUUGGGCGAACUACCAACCCCUUGUGCAUUAAUGAUGUUUUUUGGGUCUUUUCGGAGGCCCAGCAUUUUAUAAAAACCAUAUCAAUUUGUCUUAAAUCUCUAUGAAAAUAGAAACAACUUUUGACAACGGAUCUCUUGGCUCUC